rnacentral:rRNA from 1 species
UACAGAGGUCCCAAGCGUUGUUCGGAUUCACUGGGCGUAAAGGGUGCGUAGGCGGUUUGGUAAGUCUGACGUUAAAUCUUCAAGCUUAACUUGGAAACUGCGUCGGAUACUAUUCGGCUAGAGGAAUGGAGGGGAGACUGGAAUACUUGGUGUAGCAGUGAAAUGCGUAGAUAUCAAGUGGAACACCAGUGGCGAAGGCGAGUCUCUGGACAUUUCCUGACGCUGAGGCACGAAAGCCAGGGGAGCAAACGGG